UACGGAGGAUCCUAGUGUUAUCCGGAUUUAUUGGGUUUAAAGGGAGCGUAGGCGGGAGGUCAAGUCAGCUGUGAAAUGUAUCUGCUUAACGGGUACACUGCAGUUGAAACUGGUUUUCUUGAGUGCGUAAGAGGCAGGCGGAAUUCGUUGUGUAGCGGUGAAAUGCUUAGAUAUGACGAGGAACUCCUAUUGCGAAGGCAGCUUGCUGGGUCGUUACUGACGCUGAUGCACGAAAGCGUGGGGAUCAAACAGGAUUAGAUA
rnacentral:rRNA from 1 species